AAAAUUUUAUUACAUGUAGUUCUUGCAGCUGGGUAUAGGAAGGUGCAAAUUUGGUAGGCAGAAUGAUCAAUUUAGGCUAUGUGGGCGUCUGAUUUAACUUAUGGCUGGCGCACCUACCAUUUUAUUACUAUCAAAAUUAUUCCUAAAACUACGAGGAUAAUUAAUUAUGGUGGUGAAUGUAGAUAAUUUCUCAAUGUUAUUUCUUAU
rnacentral:lncRNA from 1 species